AUUGAACGCUGGCGGCAGGCCUAACACAUGCAAGUCGAGCGGAUGAAGGGAGCUUGCUCCUGGAUUCAGCGGCGGACGGGUGAGUAAUGCCUAGGAAUCUGCCUGGUAGUGGGGGAUAACGUCCGGAAACGGGCGCUAAUACCGCAUACGUCCUGAGUGAGAAAGUGGGGGAUCUUCGGACCUCACGCUAUCAGAUGAGCCUAGGUCGGAUUAGCUAGUUGGUGAGGUAAAGGCCUACCAAGGCGACGAUCCGUAACUGGUCUGAGAGGAUGAUCAGUCACACUGGAACUGAGACACGGUCCAGACUCCUACGGGAGGCAGCAGUGGGGAAUAUUGGACAAUGGGCGAAAGCCUGAUCCAGCCAUGCCGCGUGUGUGAAGAAGGUCUUCGGAUUGUAAAGCACUUUAAGUUGGGAGGAAGGGCAGUAAGUUAACACCUUGCUGUUUUGACGUUACCAACAGAAUAAGCACCGGCUAACUUCGUG
rnacentral:rRNA from 1 species